rnacentral:ncRNA from 1 species
GGGUCCGGUGGGCCGCUGACCUCCACAAAGAACCGGGGGAAAGAACUACCCGCCCACCCUGCCGGAAGGCCCGCCUCACUCGUCCGGGUGACCGGCUUGCAGGGGCGGGACACGGGCGGUUACGUUCACCGCGAGAAGCGCGUUCGGCGCGACAACCGCAAACAGAUACGGCCCUCGAUCGGGACGGGCAUCCCGGACGAGGGCCUGACCGAUCAGGAAGCAGUCUUUCCCA